rnacentral:rRNA from 1 species
GAACGCUAGCUACAGGCUUAACACAUGCAAGUCGAGGGGAAACGACAUCGAAAGCUUGCUUUUGAUGGGCGUCGACCGGCGCACGGGUGAGUAACGCGUAUCCAACCUGCCCAUCACUUGGGAAUAACCUUGCGAAAGUAAGACUAAUACCCAAUGAUAUCCCACGAAGGCAUCGGAAUGGGAUUAAAGAUUUAUCGGUGAUGGAUGGGGAUGCGUCUGAUUAGCUUGUUGGCGGGGUAACGGCCCACCAAGGCAACGAUCAGUAGGGGUUCUGAGAGGAAGGUCCCCCACAUUGGAACUGAGACACGGUCCAAACUCCUACGGGAGGCAGCAGUGAGGAAUAUUGGUCAAUGGGCGAGAGCCUGAACCAGCCAAGUAGCGUGCAGGAAGACGGCCCUAUGGGUUGUAAACUGCUUUUAUAAGGGAAUAAAGUGGGUCACGUGUGACUUUUUGCAUGUACCUUAUGAAUAAGGACCGGCUAAUUCCGUG